CCACGCUGCUCCCGCCCACCAAUCCCAGUGCGUGAUCUCUCUCUUGUAUUUGCAUAACCACGCCCUUCUGUCUGGCCUGUUUGCUCCCAGUUCCCUCCCAGUGCUCCCAGUAAGAGUGGGACUGGCAGGAAAAGCGCUUCUGAUUUCUUCCUGGUGCUGUCAGGAUCUCUCCUGUUAUUCUCACUAUCGUUCCCACUACUCCCAGUAUCACUGCCAUUCCUGCACGAGGCGAGGCUGUUUCGGAACCCCCCAGGGCAGAGCGCGGCUGCUUUUUGGGUGUCUUUUUUUGUGUGUCGGCACUGCCCGGGCCGGGCUGGGAGCGGAGCAGGAGCGGGAGGGAGAGGAGGGAAAGAGGAGGAAGAGGAGCAGCAGAAUCACACUGGUUUCCCGGCUGCCUUCCCGCGCCGCUCCGGCCGCAGCUCCCCCGGCUCCUGCUGCAUUGCCCCUCCGGGAGCCGCAGGAUUUCCCAGUUCCAAACGUCCCGAUGGAGGAGGAGGCCGUGAGGAAGAGGAAGAUGUACCAGGAUCCCCGGGCAGACACUGAGCUGAUGAUGGAGAGCAGGCAGGACAAAUCCCCACAGCAGAACCUCGUGGAAGAGGCUGUUUUGAGCGGCUCCACAGCACAGGAAUCCAAUGGGGAGGAAAAGCCUCGGAGAUCGCGCAUGAGGAGGGGCUGCAAAUGCAGAUCUCGGGGAUCUGAGGAGGAAAGACCCACCCUGGGCUGGGGAGGCAGCUAGAGCUCGGAGCUGGGGAUCCUUGAGCAGCUCCAGGGUGGGGAGAAGCCCCAGAAGUGCUCCGAAA